rnacentral:rRNA from 1 species
AGCUCCAAUAGCGUAUAUUAAAGUUGUUGCAGUUAAAAAGCUCGUAGUUGGAUUUCUGGUAGGAGUGACCGUGCCGGACUUGAUUGUCCGUGUAUUGUGUCGUCUCCAGCCAUCCUCGUGGAAAACUUUUCUAACAUUAACUUGUUGGGAUUGGGACCCGCGUCGUUUACUGUGAAAAAAUUAGAGUGUUUAAAGCAGGCAAUCGCUUGAAUACAUUAGCAUGGAAUAAUAAGAUAGGACUUUGGUACUAUUUUGUUGGUUUGCAUACCAAAUUAAUGAUCAACAGGAACAGUUUGAGGAUAUUCGUAUGAACAUGUCAGAGGUGAAAUUCUUGGAUUUUGAUCAGACGAACUACUGCGAAAGCAUUUAUCAAGGAUGUUUUCAUUAAUCAAGAACGAAA